GAUGAACGCUGGCGGCGUGCCUAAUACAUGCAAGUCGAGCGCACGUACUAUAAGCGUGCUUCUCUGCUGUUAACGGCGGACGGGGGAGUAACACGUGGAUAACCUACCUUUAAGACUGGGAUAACUUCGGGAAACCGUAGCUAAUACCUGAUAAUAUUUUGAACCUCAUUGUUCAAAAUUGAAAGACGGUCUUGCUGUCACUUAUAGAUGGAUCCGCUCUGCAUUCGUUAGUUGGUAAGGUAACGGCUUACCAAGGCAACGAUGCAUAGCCGCCCUGGGAGGGGGAUGGGCCACCUGGGAACUGGGACACGGUCCAGCCUCCUACGGGAGGAAGAAGUAGGGAAUCUUGCGAAAUGGGCGAAAGCCUGACGGGGCACCGCCGCGGGAGUGAGGAGGGUCUUCGGAUCUAAAAACUCUGUUUUUGGGGAGGACCAGAAGUGUAAGUAACUGUGCACAUCUUGACGGUACCUAAUCAGAAAGCCACGGCUAACUACGUG
rnacentral:rRNA from 1 species